UACGGAGGGGGCUAGCGUUGUUCGGAAUUACUGGGCGUAAAGCGCGCGUAGGCGGCUUUGUAAGUCAGAGGUGAAAUCCUGGAGCUUAACUCCAGAACUGCCUUUUAAGACUGCAUCGCUAGAAUCAUGGAGAGGUGAGUGGAAUUCCGAGUGUAGAGGUGAAAUUCGUAGAUAUUCGGAAGAACACCAGUGGCGAAGGCGGCUCACUGGACUGGUAUUGACGCUGAGGUGCGAAAGCGUGGGGAGCAAACAGG
rnacentral:rRNA from 1 species